AUGAAUUUAAACCCAUCGGUGACGUGCUGGAACGUUCGAGGUUUGAACAACCCAGCGAAGAGACAAGCGGUCAAAGACUUCCUAGUGUCCGUGCGGCCUAAUCUAGUGUGUUUACAAGAAACUAAGCUCGAUGUAGUUGACAACUUUCUCUUAAUGCAAUGCUGUGGACCGUCCUUAGACGGCUUUGCUUAUCUACCGGCGAUUGAUACGAGAGGUGGGAUUAUU
rnacentral:rRNA from 1 species